UCGAGCGAACAGAUAAGGAGCUUGCUCCUUUGACGUUAGCGGCGGACGGGUGAGUAACACGUGGGUAACCUACCUAUAAGACUGGAAUAACUCCGGGAAACCGGGGCUAAUGCCGGAUAAUAUUUAGAACCGCAUGGUUCUAAAGUGAAAGAUGGUUUUGCUAUCACUUAUAGAUGGACCCGCGCCGUAUUAGCUAGUUGGUGGGGUAAUGGCUUACCAAGGCAACGAUACGUAGCCGACCUGAGAGGGUGAUCGGCCACACUGGAACUGAGACACGGUCCAGACUCCUACGGGAGGCAGCAGUAGGGAAUCUUCCGCAAUGGGCGAAAGCCUGACGGAGCAACGCCGCGUGAGUGAUGAAGGUCUUCGGAUCGUAAAACUCUGUUAUUAGGGAAGAACAAAUGUGUAAGUAACUGUGCACGUCUUGACGGUACCUAAUCAGAAAGCCACGGCUAACUACGUGCCAGCAGCCGCGGUAAUACGUAGGUGGCAAGCGUUAUCCGGGAAUUAUUGGGCGUAAAGCGCGCGUAGGCGGUUUCUUAAGUCUGAUGUGAAAGCCCACGGCUCAACCGUGGAGGGUCAUUGGAAACUGGGAAACUUGAGUGCAGAAGAGGAAAGUGGAAUUCCAUGUGUAGCGGUGAAAUGCGCAGAGAUAUGGAGGAACACCAGUGGCGAAGGCGACUUUCUGGUCUGUAACUGACGCUGAUGUGCGAAAGCGUGGGGAUCAAACAGGAUUAGAUACCCUGGUAGUCCACGCCGUAAACGAUGAGUGCUAAGUGUUAGGGGGUUUCCGCCCCUUAGUGCUGCAGCUAACGCAUUAAGCACUCCGCCUGGGGAGUACGACCGCAAGGUUGAAACUCAAAGGAAUUGACGGGGACCCGCACAAGCGGUGGAGCAUGUGGGUUUAAUUCGAAGCAACGCGAAGAACCUUACCAAAUCUUGACAUCCUUUGACAACUCUAGAGAUAGAGUCUUCCCCUUCGGGGGACAAAGUGACAGGUGGUGCAUGGUUGUCGUCAGCUCGUGUCGUGAGAUGUUGGGUUAAGUCCCGCAACGAGCGCAACCCUUAAGCUUAGUUGCCAGCAUUAAGUUGGGCACUCUAAGUUGACUGCCGGUGACAAACCGGAGGAAGGUGGGGAUGACGUCAAAUCAUCAUGCCCCUUAUGAUUUGGGCUACACACGUGCUACAAUGGACAAUACAAAGGGCAGCUAAACCGCGAGGUCAUGCAAAUCCCAUAAAGUUGUUCUCAGUUCGGAUUGUAGUCUGCAACUCGACUACAUGAAGCUGGAAUCGCUAGUAAUCGUAGAUCAGCAUGCUACGGUGAAUACGUUCCCGGGUCUUGUACACACCGCCCGUCACACCACGAGAGUCUGUAACACCCGAAGCCGGUGGAGUAACCAUUUA
rnacentral:rRNA from 1 species